UGUUGGUACCAUGACACUGAUCACAAACUUUCUUUGUCAACUCAUGCUUUGAUCCUGAGUUCAUAUAGUGCAUACACAUGAAAGUGUAACAUCAGUAGCGAAGAGCCAGUCACUCUUUGUUCUGAUUCUCUGGCCCAUGAGAGAGACAUUUACAGAUACAAAGCUUUGAGUCUCCAGCCCAAGAGGUAGGAAACAAUCACAAAAAAGUGUGUAAUCACCCAUUCAUCCAUCAACAUGUUAUCUUUCUUAUUCACAGGGUUCUGAGUUUUCCUGCUCUUGCAGAGUAUAAUUUAGACUUCAUUUUAAUGAGAAUGAUACACUUUACCAAGAAUUGAUUGAUAUUAGGAUUUUAGACAUGAAUUAUCAUUCACACAUACCAAAAACACAGAUCAACGUAUAAACUAUUCAGUAGUUAUUCAUAAUGCCAUUUAUAAUCUGCAUAUUAAUAAGCAUGAUAGUCAAACGUGGGUUACAGACAUGAUAUGGAAUUAUUCAAUAUAGUGAUGUUUGAUUAUAAGCCCUCUUAGCAUCAUUUUCGGAUGAUCUUGUGCAAUUUUGAUAUGUACAGGCAGUCUCUGUGCCAUUCCAAGAGCGGUGAAGAAUUCAGUCCUGUGAGGAGGAGGUCAGAAGUUCUCAAGAGGGACUCUGGUUUUAGCUCUCUUUCCUGGGUGGAACAUUUUUCUUGUGUUCUCCAUGUACUGAAAUACCAACAAACAUGGUACUCUCUAAAGAUCAGUCAUGAAUUAGACCCACAAAACAGAACAAGACAAAGCAAGAAUCCAACAUAACGUUUUUUUUUUUUUGUUGUUGUUGUUGUUUUUUAACAGUCAAUAAGUAUCCUGUUAUGACCCCAUUGUUUGUCUUUAGCUGUCUCCCAAACUGAAGUGCACGGACUCUCAAGUGUGCAUUUGAAGUGCGAUUGCAUAACAGCGUCACAACGUAAGCUGUCCCUAUUCAGAAUGCACCCUCCAAAGACUGCAUUCCAAGGCCGAUUGCAUCGGCGCGGAGAAGGCUGACGUAUUUUGAAAGCGACUUCAAAUGCGGCCUUCAUUUCCCAGGAAAAUGAAGUGUACAUCUGAUGGACACUUCGCACCCUUCCAUGUCCCAGAAUCACUUGUGCACAGAUGACGACGGUCUUUAUAUUCAAAGAACACUGCGGGUGAGAACCAGGCCCGGCUCCAGAUAUGAGAUGAAAGGUGGGCCAAAUGAUAUUCCAGGUGGGCCGGUCAGAUUGGGGGUGGGGGGUCUUUAAUGCUUUAAUCUCACAUUUCUAUUGAUAUAGAUAAGGCAAUUGUUAGGGUUGUUUGUUAUUGUUGUGUUUGUGUUUUCUUCAUUUUUAAUAUGUUUUGUACAUAUUUUGGAACUAUUUAGUAACUUUAUAUAUAUAUAGAUAAAAAUGGUUAACAUGUUUAUUUGUACAUUCUCUUUUUGCAUUUAUAAUUUUUUUGACCCCUUAACAGAUCUUGUAUCAAUUAAGUAACUUUAGAUUUGAUAAAAAGGGGCAGUUCUUUUAAAAUAACUAUUUACAUCAACUAAAACAAACUUGUUUCUCGAGUGAAGCAUGAACUGUAAGAAUUGGGUUUAUUCUUGUAAUGUUUUGUUAAAAAGGGACAGUUCUUUUAAAAUAACUAUUUAAAUCAACUAAAACAAACUUGUUACAAACUAAAAAUGUUAAUUUUAUCUGAAAUGCUGUUUUUCUUAAGAAUUAUUCUCAUGUCUGUUAAUAUAGUAUAAAAUUACAGAUUUUUGGCCAUUGUUAUUUUGUACAUUUUUAUUUAUUUAUUUAUU
ensembl:lncRNA